GACGAACGCUGGCGGCGUGCUUAACACAUGCAAGUCAAACGGAAAGGCCCCUUUGGGGGUACUCGAGUGGCGAACGGGUGAGUAACACGUGAGUAACCUGCCCUUGACUUCGGGAUAACUUCAGGAAACUGGGGCUAAUACCGGAUAGGAAUCCUUGCUGCAUGGUGGGGGUUGGAAAGCUUCGGCGGUUUUGGAUGGACUCGCGGCUUAUCAGCUUGUUGGUGGGGUAGUGGCUUACCAAGGCUUUGACGGGUAGCCGGCCUGAGAGGGCGACCGGCCACAUUGGGACUGAGAUACGGCCCAGACUCCUACGGGAGGCAGCAGUGGGGAAUAUUGCACAAUGGGCGGAAGCCUGAUGCAGCAACGCCGCGGGCGGGAUGACGGCCUUCGGGUUGUAAACCGCUUUCAGCAGGGGCGAAGCUUGUGGUGACGGUACCUGCAGAAGAAGCACCGGCUAACUACGUG
rnacentral:rRNA from 1 species